CGAAUGAUCAUGAGCUUCUACCGAUUCUUUUCAUUGCAAAAUAUUAUUUGUGUUUCAAAAGCCUCAACCAAUUCAGCAGGAUUUGACGAGAAAGUAAAGGAAGACUGAACCGCAGGUACAGCGUUACAGUUCUCUCAAAAGUCUUUCGAUCAUUAUACGAUUUGAAACAUCCUUUGACCUGUCAUGUCAUACUGUAUCUUUUCAUAUCUCAAGCUAUGCACUGAAUUAUUUUCUUCACCCGUAAUUAAGGAGAUUGCCGUUUUGGAGCCAAAUAUCCUCGUAAACUUUACCCGACCAAGUCAAGUGGACUGAAGACAUACUCCUGAACCAUGAGCUCCGUUCGAAUGUUAACAAAGAUCGUAAUUAUGGCAGCUGUGUUCCAAGCACAUGGAAAAAGUUGCUUGGGCUGCAGAAAUGAUGAGAUCAACCAGCGAUAAACCAGGACAGAAAAGCACGUGUCUACCAUGUAUCGACUGCUUAGACGGAAUGGAACCCUCGAUUCCUUGCGGCGGAACCGCCAUAUAUGGAACACACUACAUUGGCCCUGUAGGCCCUGUAGGCCAUGCUCCCUAUGCUCUAUUGGACGCGCAGUGAGAAGGAACUGUUCUGCGACUUGGAACACUCUAUGUGGCUCUUGUAAGUUUGGCUAUUACCGGAAAGUUGUCGCCUUCAACCUGCUUCACCAUUGCCUCCCAUGUUCCGUCUGCUGUGAGGACGGUAAAGAUCAGUUAGAGAAGCAGUGCAAAGACCAAGGGUUGCCAAGGUAGCGACUUUGCGCCCACCUGUCAAAUGUUUUGGACAACUCCAAAGACCACGUCGAGCACAUAAUUUUUAGACACAAAUCCCACGGCAAAGAAAGAGGCAAGCCGAAAGGGACAAGCAGAGGAAGUUUUUUUGGCUCCCUCGCGAAGAAUACCGGAGCCGUUUGCAAGAGCCACAGCCACGACCACAAGUGCGACAUUUUCUUCUCAUGAAACGUUACCUACCACUCGAGUAUCAAACAACUUCAGCAUCAGAAGGAUCCUACGGAAAUAAAUCAAAGGGAUCUUUUUCUGAUACAAGCGUCGAUAGUAAUAAUCAAACUGUUAUUGUUGUUGCUACCAUGUGUGGUAUUUCCACUAUUUUCAUUCUAAUUCUUAUAUUUGUUUUUACACGAAACAAGGUUGCGCGCUUCUUUGAAAGGAUGAAGUGUGGUCCCAUCCUGAGGUGUAGAGACGUUGAACUCGGUAAACAAAGAGAGAGAACUCCGUUCGAUGACAUCAAACAAUCAACAAACGCUGUGUCACUAGGAGUAAGUAUGACUCUCGAGGGUCUGGAUGAAAAUUAUGUAGAUGCGUUUGAAUGGGUGUGCACGAAACUUGAUGAGAUAGAGUAUGCGAUCAGGUAUGCGAUAUGACUUUGAAAAGUUAGCUUCACACUACAAGAUUUCGCUCGCAGCACGAGACUCUUUGAAACACGAGUUCCAGAGCGGUAACACUCCUUCUUAUGCUGUGAUGGGUCACAUAAAGGCUAAACACCCAAAUCUGCUGAUUCAUAAACUUAUUGAAGACCUGGAAAA